rnacentral:rRNA from 1 species
UACGUAGGGAGCAAGCGUUAUCCGGAAUUACUGGGCGUAAAGAGUUCGUAGGCUGUACUUUAAGUCAGAUGUUAAAUCUCUGGGCUCAACCCAGAGCCUGCAUUUGAUACUGAAGUACUAGAGGCAAGUAGAGGUAAGCGGAAUUCCCGGUGUAGCAGUGAAAUGCAUAGAUAUCGGGAGGAACACCAAUGGCGAAGGCAGCUUACUGGCCUUGUCCUGACGCUGAGGAACGAAAGCGUGGGGAGCGAAAGGG